AAGACUCUGUAAAGUAGCACACUGUGAAAGAUGCAGAGGUAUAGGCUGAUUAAAGAGGUUAUUUGCAAGAUUGAGAUGGACAAGAUUAGGAAGUUCACAGAUAGAAGAUGAAAUUGAACCUGAAAGAUUGAAACUUACGAGGUUAAUAGAAGAUACGGAAGAAGACGAAGAUGUACAAGUGAUACCACUCCAGUUACAUUCACUUGUCGAGUGUUUAGACCAGCUUGAAAGAAGGUUUAAA
rnacentral:misc_RNA from 1 species